UUCUGUAAGCCUGUGAAGGUGUGCUGUGAGGCAUGCUGGAGGUAUCAGAAGUGCGAAUGCUGACAUAAGUAACGAUAAAGCGGGUGAAAAGCCCGCUCGCCGGAAGACCAAGGGUUCCUGUCCAACGUUAAUCGGGGCAGGGUGAGUCGACCCCUAAGGCGAGGCCGAAAGGCGUAGUCGAUGGGAAACAGGUUAAUAUUCCUGUACCAGGUGUUACUGCGAAGGGGGGACGGAGAAGGCUAUGUUGGCCGGGCGACGGUUGUCCCGGUUUAAGCGUGUAGGUGUGUGUUCCAGGUAAAUCCGGUUCACUUUAACACUGAGGCGUGAUGACGAGGCACUACGGUGCUGAAGCAACAAAUGCCCUGCUUCCAGGAAAAGCCUCUAAGCAUCAGGUAACAUCAGAUCGUACCCCAAACCGACACAGGUGGUCAGGUAGAGAAUACCAAGGCGCUUGAGAGAACUCGGGUGAAGGAACUAGGCAAAAUGGUGCCGUAACU
rnacentral:rRNA from 1 species